GUGUUUCCUUCAGAGUAUACUUACUAAAAGGGCACAAUAUAGAGAAGAUUAGCUUAUCUCCUCUCCGAAGAUGACACGCAAACAAAUGAGUAUUUCUAUAUCAAU
ensembl:snRNA U6 U6 spliceosomal RNA